rnacentral:rRNA from 1 species
AGUGAACGCUGGCGGUAGGCCUAACACAUGCAAGUCGAACGGCCGCACAGUAAGAGCUUGCUCUUACGGGUGGCGAGUGGCGGACGGGUGAGGAAUACAUCGGAAUCUACUUUUUCGUGGGGGAUAACGUAGGGCCACUUACGCUAAUACCGCAUACGACCUACGGGUGAAAGCAGGGGAUCUUCGGACCUUUCGCGAUUGAAUGAGCCGAUGUCGGAUUAGCUAGUUGGCAGGGUAAAGGCCCACCAAGGCGACGAUCCGUAGCUGGUCUGAGAGGAUGAUCAGCCACACUGGAACUGAGACACGGUCCAGACUCCUACGGGAGGCAGCAGUGGGGAAUAUUGGACAAUGGGCGCAAGCCUGAUCCAGCCAUACCGCGUGAGUGAAGAAGGCCUUCGGGUUGUAAAGCCCUUUUGUUGGGAGAGAAAAGCAGCAGGUUAAUACCCCGCUGUUCUGACGGUACCCAAAGAAUAAGCACCGGCUAACUUCGUG